AUCAACAAAUAUCAAUUACUACCAGUUCUCAAGGGUAUUUUCUCCCAAGUCACUAGUGCGAAAACCUUUAAUCAUUCUACCCUAAUUUCUAUGUCCAUAGGCAAUUAGGGUGAAGUUAAGAUUUAUUAUAUCAAGAAUGCUCUAAUUCACAUAGGGUAUCCCUAGUCUUAGGUGAUAUCUACUGCAGAGUAAUCUUAUGAAAACCUUAUAAAUGGCGGUCCAAC
rnacentral:lncRNA from 1 species